CUCCUCCCAGGGUCGUACCUGGAGAGUUUCCAGUAUUCCACCAGUCUCAGCUAUUGGAGGGAGAGUCAAGCAGAGGCCUACCCAUUCCAUUCCUAGUUUGGGAAUUGGCUAGCGAGUGCAAGACAAUCUGCUACAAGG
rfam:Ornithorhynchus anatinus chromosome 4, whole genome shotgun sequence.